rnacentral:rRNA from 1 species
UACACUGCACGSCGCAAAGUGCGAUAGGGGAAUCCCAAGUGCGAGGGCAUAUUAGCCCUCGCUUUUGUUGACUCUAAGGCGGUCAACGAAUAAGAGCUGGGCAAGACCGGUGCCAGCCGCCGCGGUAAUACCGGCAGCUCAAGUGAUGUCCCAUAUUAUUGGGCCUSCGCAAAGCGUCCGUAGCUGGCCGCGCAAGUCCGUCGGGSCGCAAAUCCACCUGCCCAACAGGUGGGCGUCCGGCGGSCGCAAACUGUGUGGCUUGGAACCGGAAGGCUCAGAGAGUACGUCCGGGGUAGGAGUGSCGCAAAUCCCGUAAUCCCGGACGGACUACCGAUGGCGSCGCAAAGCACUCUGAGAAGACGGCUUCGACAGUGAGGGACGSCGCAAAGCUCGGGUCUCSCGCAAACCGGAUUAGAUACCCGGGUAGUCCGAGCCGUSCGCAAACAAUGCUCGUUAGGUGUGGCACCCACUACGAGUGGGUGCUGUGCCGCAGGGAAGCCGCUSCGCAAACGAGCCGCCUGGGAAGUACGUCC